rnacentral:ncRNA from 3 species
CAAAGAUUGGAGCUUGAGAAGUCAGCCGAGGUCAUAGUACCGAUUGGGAAACGAGCUCCGAAAGCCGGAGAGGCCUCACAAGACCGGGAAGGAC